rnacentral:rRNA from 3 species
CAACUUUCAACAACGGAUCUCUUGGUUCUGGCAUCGAUGAAGAACGCAGCGAAAUGCGAUAAGUAGUGUGAAUUGCAGAAUUCAGUGAAUCAUCGAAUCUUUGAACGCACAUUGCGCCCCUUGGUAUUCCAAAGGGCAUGCCUGUUCGAGCGUCAUUU